GUAAGUCACCAACAUCACAUUUCAUUAAUCAGUUUAGAUUUUACAAAUCAAUGUUCUUCCAUGGGGAUGUUAGUUGUAAGUGUUUAAUUAUUGGUCACAGUUUUAUUUCUAUAGUUGUUAAAUCACUGACACUAGCUAGUUUUCCAUCCCAUGGGUGACAAUAUUCGAAACUGCGCAUAAAUACUAUAUGCGCAGUUUCCCACCGUAGAUGUUUCCAUCAAAUUGACUUGUUGCAGAUAAAAGGCUGUGCGAUAUGACGUGGUCCACAUUAAAAUACAAUUUGCAGUUAAAUUCCCAUGAACCGAAUAAAAAAUACAAGAGAAAUAGGGUUCCAUCACAUUUUUAACUCUACUGGUGGGUUUCUCACACAAACAAAUUGACUUAUUAAGCGAGUGUGUCCGCUCUGGUUGUCAUAUGCGCUUUAUCCAACAGCAAGCAGUGCGCAGAUAGCGGUGUUGUCUAGAGCGCAUGUAUAGCCUACAUGGUGAGAUUAUUAUGGACAAAAAAUAUCUACAUUAUUUGUCAAACGGCAGAAAGGAUCAUGUUCAAAGCACAAAAAAUCGGUGCUGGGUUAUGGUGAUAUUGUCUGUGUGCUGGCCUCAGCAAGUACCUUUAAAACUCUGGACACAGUGUAUCAUGGUGCUUUUACGAUUUAUUUCAAACACUAGAUCACCCUACGUCAUCACGCACUGAUUUAUAUCCGCCAAGAAGUCCCUUUGGUGGAAACGCGCAUAUUUUCUUUAUGUGGGUUUUAGAAUACUAGUAUGAAAAUCUGUUGCCAAUUGGAUGGAAACCUAGCUUUUGAAAUCAGAGUGAGGUUUCAUCUCAAUGACCGCAUACAUAGCCUGGGAGAUUUUUUAAAUAAUUCAUAAACUUCACAAUGCUGUUUCACAGCUCUACAUCGACUUGAAUCAAAUCAACUUUUUGUUGUUGUUGACAUAUGCACAGGGUGCAGCGUAAAGGGUGCAAAUUCUUAUCAGCAAGCUUCAACAGUAAAAAAAACUGCUAAAAAGUAAACCACUACAGUACCAGUCAAAAGUUUAGACACACCUACUCAUUCAAAGUUUCCUUUUAAUGUUUUACUAUUUUCUACAUUGUAGAAUAAUAGUGAAGACAUCAAAACUAUGAAAUAGUACAUAUGAAAUCAUUUAGUAACCAAAAAAAGUGUUUAAAAUAUAAAAUACAUGUUUAUUUGUUUGACUGUUCAAAGUAGCCACCCUUUGCCUUGACAGCUUUGCACACUGUUGGCACUCUCUCUAGACACACAUACGUGUUUAGCAGAUGUUAUUGCAGGUGAAGUGAAACACUGCACCCUGUGCAUAUAACACAAAAACAUUGAUUUUAAUCUAGAUGAUUUUACUUGAACUCUGAAGCAAGAUACAAUCUGAGGUGCAGUUAACACCAAUGAACUUGUCCUCUGCAGCAGAGGUAACUCUGGGUCUUCCUUUCCUGUGGCGGUUCUCAUGAGAGCCAGUUUCAUCAUAGCGCCUGAUGGUUUUUACGACUGCACUAAGAAAUUUUCUUAAAAUGUUCCGCAUUGGCUGACCUUCAUGUCUUAAAGUAAUGAUGGACUGUCGUUUCUCUUUGCUUAUUUGAGCUGUUCUUGCCAUAAUAUGGACUUGGUCUUUUACCAAAACAGGGCUUUCUUCUGUAUACCACAACUGAUUGGCUCAAACGCAUGAAGGAAAGAAAUUCCACAUAUUAACAUUUAACAAGGCACACCAGUUAAUUGAAAUGCAUUCCAGGUGACUACUUCAUGAUGCUGGCUGAGAGAAUGCCAAGAGUGUGCAAAGCUGUCAUCAAGGCAAAGGGUGGCUACUUUGAAGAAUCUCAAAUAUAAAAUAUUUUGAUUUGUUUCACACUUUUCUGGUUACUACAUGAUUCCAUAUCUUUUAUUUCAUAUUUUUGACGUCUUCACUAUUAUUCUACAAUGUAGAAAAUAGUAAAAAUGAAGAAAAUCCCUUGAAUGAGUAGGUGUGUCCAAACCUUUGACUGGUACCGUAGAUAUGGUCUCUCCAACCCUGUUCCUGGAGAGCUACCGUGUUAUAGGUUUUCACUCCAACAAUGUUCCUGGAGAGCUACCGUGUUAUAGGUUUUCACUCCAACAAUGUUCCUGGAGAGCUACCGUGUUAUAGGUUUUCAAUCUAACCUUAAUCUAGCGCACCUGAUUAUAAUAAUUAGCUAGUUGAUUAACUAAAUCAGUUUAGCUACAAAUGGGGUUGGAGUGAAAACCUUUCGAGGGUUGUUCUCCA
ensembl:lncRNA